rnacentral:misc_RNA from 1 species
AUAUUCUAUUGAAAUAAAAAAAAAAAAGAAAUGUUACGUAAUAUUUAUGAAUACUCAACUAGUCUGAAGAUAUAUUUAAAAUUCCCGCCAUUUGUGCAUUAAUGGCGAAUUUGUGAGUGUCAUUCUUUUAGACUAAUAAAACAAUUUAGAUUUUAUAGAGUUUGAAUAUGGAUAAAAUAAUUAAAGGAAUAAUGAAAUAUAGAAAGUGCCAUAGGGAAGAAAUGGUGAAACAAUUUCAAAAAGUUAAAGACUGUCCUGAACCAAAAGCAGCAUUCUUUACCUGCAUGGAUUCCCGGAUGAUUCCAACUAGAUUUACGGAAACAAAUGUUGGAGACAUGUUUGUUGGUACGAGAUUUCACGAUGACAUUAUAUUCUCGAAUAUGAAACUUGUUUUUUUGUAAGAAAUGCUGGUAAUAUUAUUCCUCAUUCUCAGCAUUUUGAGGACGAGUUAGCAAUGUGUGAACCGGCAGCCUUAGAACUUGUUUGUUUGAUGAACGAAAUAAAACACAUUAUAGUUUGCGGCCAUAGCGAUUGUAAAGCUAUGAAUAUGUUAUAUUCUUUGCGUGAGGAAGAAUUAGCAUCGAAAGUAAAUAGAAGGAUAUCGCCAUUAAAAGCAUGGCUUUUUGCACAUGCUAGUAGUAGUUUAGCGAGAUUUCAACAGCUUGAAAUCACUGAUUUCCGUGACCCGAUACUUUUUCAAG